ensembl:lincRNA
AUUAUUUCCUGACAGGGCCUCUGCAUGUUUAUUGUCGUUAAUACUUGAAACGUUCAAAGCACAAAGGAAACUGGCCAUUCAGGAGACUCCUGUAAUGAUUUGAAAUUUGAAGACCCUGGUCUGUGUUUGCUUAUUGUCUGCCUACUAUGUGUCAGACACUGAGGUUAUGAAAUUCAAUGGAGAAGUGAUAGAAUUGAUUAAAACAUGCAACGGAUGCAUAGUCAUAAACCAUGUCUCUUUCCACGAGACUUCCAUUCCAUGUGACGGAGUUGCUUCAUUCACUAGAUGGAGGCAGCAUCCGCCAAAGUCAGCUCCUCCUACUGGCAAGAAACUCAGCAGAACCUGCACGUGCACUUUGAAGAAGAAACCUUGAUCAGUCCCCCAGGUUUGAGGUGAGAUUUCCCCUCCAGUUUUCCAUGUAGGCCUUUGAAAAGCUUUGUCUAAUUGAGUUGCCCUGUUCGUGUCUCAAACUCCCCAAUCCUGCAUCAUGUUUAUAAGAGGACAUCUGCCACUCCUCUGAAUCUUCACGGCCUUCCAGAAAAUAUGUGCCUUGAUCCCAUGUUAUUUUAAAAUUUCCAUGGAGAAUCCCUAGAGUCUGUAUUAAGGAUUUCAGAGGAAGAUAACUUUGAUCUUUUAAAGUUGGGAACUAAUCCAACAGUUCUGUAAUCACUAAAGUGGGCUUAAAUGCAUACAGAGGCCAGAUGGAGCCCUGGAGUCCAUAAAUACCAUCUUACACUGAGGCUCCAAGAGAGUUGACCUGCCUGAGUCAAGAUCAAUUUUACUGAAAGAUCAAGAGCAUUCUAUUCUCUCCUCGAGUCUGGGGACUUUUCCCAUGUUAUAGCAAGCUUUGGACAGUGUCUCAGGUUUUCUUGGUAGAGGAAUCAUACAGCCUCUGCAAAUCAUUUCUCUAAUUCCUUGAAGUUCUGUUUUUCUUGAGCCUAGGCUAAUAGCUGACCCACUUCUGUCAGGAAAUUGCUUGAUUGUGGGUGUCUGCAAACAGUGAGAUGAGGCUACGUGACCAUUGCUCAGAGCCUCCAUCCCCCUUCUCGUUCCUGCUGCCACCAGAUGGUCCUGAGAUAAUGCCACGUCUUUCCUGCAAGAAACAACAUUCCUGAACCAUUCUGCCAGUCCCCACUGAUCGUCUUGGGAAUGCAAUUCCUCAGCCUCUCCCCUCUUGUCAUCGUUUCCCCUGUCUUAUCUUCAGAGGGCUGGGGGACCUGAGCUGGUCUCUUUCCAAGGAGAAUCAAUCAUCUCAUGUCAGGCGCUCAGGGGGCUCACGUAGUUGAUAUAAACGUGCAGUCUGGGAGUUCCGGCUUGCCCAUGGAGCCUUACAAUGUGUGUGUGACUACGCUAUCAUUCUCAAAAUUAUUUAUGAUACCAAUCUUACUCCUUCUAUCUUAACAUUCAUGUUCUUUAGUCAAACAAAUCAAACAAGUGGAGUUCUUGCCUCUCACAAUUCCCCUGGGAGGCUAAAAGCAAGAUGAUGUUAGCUCAUAAACCUGGCUUCCAGCCAAGCUUUGAUCUCUGAUCCCAGCCCUUCCCUUGGUCCUCAGCAUGAUUCUAGCCACAGUUAGACAACAUCUCUUUCUAGCUCUGCUGAUGACAGAAGAGGCAAGAAGUGGGGAUUAUGAAUCAAUAGUUACUGUUCCUGGAUAUUAAUUAGUAGGAGGGAGAAUAAGACCUCAGAGAUGAGAUCGUUGUUAGCUGGAAGAAAAAGCUGGCAGAAAUAGAUGGCACUAUUAUCCUGUAUCACUCAUCUUUUGAAGUGUGAAACUGAUGGGUGACAUGCAAAGGCCCAAGGGUUUCAAACCCAGAAACUACGGAAGAUCCUUUGAAUGCAUGGCUUGACCUAGGUGAAUUUGGGCACUUGUAGCUUUCAUAUUUGAGGUUUCAGUUAUUUUCAUGCUACCCUCCAAAGGCCAUAUUAUACCACUGUUUAAAAUUUUUGCCAAGGCAUAAAUUUGGAUUACACUAUGAAAAGCAAGUCAUCUAGCAAAUGAGUAAGCUUAGCUUGAUGGCCUGGCAUCAGAUUCUCUAUGGUGUUUUAUUUCCACUUACCACAUGAUUUCACUAUAUUCUCACAAAAAGCCCUGUUGGGCAGAUAUUAUUACCCCUCUUUCAUAGAUGAAUGUAUAGGAGAUUGUGGGCUGUCGUAAUACUUGUAAAGAUGAGGAUUUGAGAAAAUUUCAGAAAGUAUCUCAUUUACAUGUCAAGAAUCUGCUGGGCGAAUUUUCUUCUUCUCUACUUGAAACAAUCCAGCCAAAAGAAAAGACAUAAGUGCAAUCAUUUGGAGAACAUCUUAUAACUCAAGCAUCAACUGAGGCUUCUGUAGUCUCUAAAAUCUCAUUUAAUCUGCUACAACUUUCCAUUCUGCCAUCCAUAAGAGCUUCCUCCCAGAGAUAUCUGCCAGCCCUCUCUGCCUAAGGCUCAUAUGAUCAGCUUCCCUGAAGACAAGUACUACCUUUAUUACUUUGGGAAUAUCCCCUGGCCAACCCUUUCAAAGGUUUCUGUAAAAAUCCAAAUAGUAUAGCGUUUUGUAGACUUUGUAGAAUCUUUUUUUGGGGGGGACAGGGGCUAGUAAAGAAGAGAUACAUGAAGAAGCACACAGUGGGCCACCAUUUCACUCACCCUCCCUCUUUUCCCCUUUUUUAUAUGCUCAUUCUCCAAGCCCUCCGAGAGCUACAAGUCAUUCUGUCUCUUACACAAUCCUUGGUCCUUCUCUCUAAAAUGGCACCAGCCAACUCUUAGACCUCAAGAGGCUUAGACUGCCCUCAAGAGAGGCUGUCAAAGUGUUUUCCUGUGAAAAUGUUCUUGUAUCUGCUGUUGAAAAAAUAAAACUUUCUCUCCUUGGUGAUUUAACCAUGAGAAUGGUCCUAAAAUGGAACAAAUUGCCCCAGGAAAUAGGGAGAUUGAUU